UUAAGAUAUUAGAUUCAGAAACUCAGUGUAAAGCAUAAAAUAAUGUUUUUACUAAUGGGACAUGUGGUAAAUAAUUAUAAGAUUAUGAAAAUAUACUUUUAGUUUAUUGAGAAUAUGAAAGAGCUUUCACAGCAGAGCUUGUCUUGUGCUUAAAGUCCUGUGAUGACUCGCUUUCAAGUGAUGACAAUGUGAUAACAUGAACACAUUGGAGAGUGUGUACAUUUAAUUUAAGUUUGUUUAUGCUGCUGAUACUAUUUAUUUCAGAAUUGUGAGGCUGAUGAUGUAUAAGUAGCUGCUGAGACACCUGUGACCAGGACCUACUAUUCCUACUUCAUCCCCUGCCACAAGUUAUGAGGUGAUGUGAAUCUAGAAGUUUCAUUUGGAACGAAACAAGAAAGUCGUACAGGUUUGGAACGACAAGAAUGCACUAACUAUUUCUGCACAUGGUGGAGAUCCCCAGGCAAAGCUGUGAUGAUCCCUCCAGUGUUUAAACCUUGAGCCAUAUUUUCCUGCUAAAACCAUCUUUACUAGAUAGGUCUGCGUCCAAUCAAAGCACAAAUAAGCAACGGAAACA